AAGUCGUAACAAGGUUUCCGUAGGUGAACCUGCGGAAGGAUCAUUAGAAGUGCUUCUCAAAGGCGGGGCGCCCCACGCAUAGCAUAGCAUCUCCCUCUCCCAGCGAGGCCCGCUGCCCGCUUGUUACGGUCAAAAUGUUGACUCCUCAACUGGGUCCUGCCCCAACCCCCAUCCCGACCGAGCUAAGUCACGCUGCAACAGCCUGUGGAACUGGCAGAGAGAGAGGAGGGACCUAUGCUGGGGGGCGUCCGACUUUGACAUUGGAGAACAAAACCCCCGUGUACCUCUCCCAACCUUGCUUCCCGCGCUUCCGGGCGCGGGGAGGAAACCUUCCAGCCCUUCCGAAACAGAAGUCUGACACGAAGAAAGAUAGAAAAGUUAAAACUUUCAACAACGGAUCUCUUGGUUCUC
rnacentral:misc_RNA from 1 species